rnacentral:rRNA from 1 species
GACAGAGGUGCCAAGCGUUAGGCGGAAUCACUGGGCUUAAAGCGUGUGUAGGCAGAACGUUAAGUGCCUUGUGAAAUCCCACGGCUUAACCGUGGAACUGCUGGGCAUACUGGCGUUCUUGAGCCAGCCAGGGGUCGUCGGAACAAACGGUGGAGCGGUGAAAUGCGUAGAUAUCGUUUGGAACGCCAAAGGCGAAAGCAGACGACUGGGGCUGAGCUGACGCUGAGACACGAAAGCCAGGGGAGCAAACGGGAUUAGAUACCCCGGUAGUCCUGGCCCUAAACGAUGUCCACUGGAUCGCGGUCCCUCUGAAGGGUUCGCGGUCGGAGCAAAAGUGUUAAGUGGACCGCCUGGGAAGUACGGUCGCAAGGCUAAA